rnacentral:tRNA from 1 species
GGCGGCGUGGCGAAGAAGUUAACGCGCUGAUCUGCAAAAUCAGUAUACGUGAGUGCGAAUCUCACCGCCGCCU